AGUGGUGCUGAGAACCUGCAGUUCCCAUUAACUUUAGUGAAAUCUGGAGAUGCUCAGCACUUCUGA
rnacentral:pre_miRNA from 1 species